rnacentral:rRNA from 1 species
UUAAGACAUGCAAAUCGUUGUUUCCAAAGUCCUUAAUUAAUUAAUAUUUUUAAUAUUAAUGGGAUCCGGGGAUAAGGUGUAGAGGUGAGUAUGUUAAAUAAGAUACCCUAUAGUCUUCUUAGCUAGGAGAUAUAAAGUAAAGGAAAAUUUCUGCUAUAGGAUUCUAUUUAAUUUGAUUAGGUAGUUGAUAGGGUAACGGCCUACCAAGCCAACGAUCAAAAGUCAAGUUUGAAAGAACCUCUGGCCACAUUGGGGAUGAAAUCUCCCAAGUAGUAAUAACACUCCCAGCAGUCGAGAAUAUUAGUCAAUGCUCGUAAGAGUGAACUAGCUAACUGAAAUCAUAGAAUUUUUUCAAAUUCAUGAUGUCGUAAGGGAAAAUAAUGAUAAUACCUUACUAUGAGUGUCGUCCAAAUCUGGUGCCAGAAGACUCGGUAAGACCAGAGACGCAAACGUUAAUCAUCAUAAACAGGCGUAAAGGGUUUGUAGGCAGCUUUUAUAAAAAUAUCAAAAACUAAAUUAAAAGCUAGAAUCAAAAAGAGGUUAUAGUGUAUAACGCCUAGAGGAGGGCUGAUAUCCAUAGAUCCUAGGCAGAAUACUCAGGGCGAAGGCCACUCUCCCACUAAUGAUUGACGCUGAGAAACGAAGGUUAGGGUAGGAAAUAGGAUUAGAUACCCCGGUACUCCUUUUCUGUAAACGAUGAAUGGUAGUCAUUAGUUAAAUUAAAAUAACUAGAGGCGAAGUUAACACAAUAACCAUUCCGCCUUGUGAGUACUACUGCAAAGUAGAAAACAAAAAAAUUAGUCGGUCUCGAAGCAAACGGAGUGAAGCAUGUUAUUUAAUACGAUAAUCCGCGUAAAACCUUUCCAGAACUUGCAUACAAACUAUAAAUUUUCUUUCCUGAAAAGGUAGAGGGAGUAUUAGGAGUUU